GAUUGGAAGUUGGAAGCAAUCCUAACCUAACAGAAAAAAAAAAAGUGUAUAGUUUUAAAAUGUGGAGUUGCAAGGAAGCAACAAAUGAAGGUUUAAUUGUUUAGGGAAAGAUUAUCAGCACUGGAGAUGCAUCUGGUGUGGAGAGAGGGCUGGAAAAGCCCAAGGAGCAAAGCAAUGCCAUCCACCCAAGAGUGGUGGGGAAGCAAUAAAUAGGAUAAUAUGAGAGAAAUUGAUAUGGAUAAAUAAAUAAAUAUAGCCCUUGCCCACUCUGGACAUGGUUGGUGUUCACUCCACACUGAGGGUCACCAGGGCAGGGUGGCACAAAAGGGAGAGGAGAUGCCCAGGGGAAACAGGCAUGGAAAACCCAUCCAUGCAUCCCAGGAAUAUUUAUGCCCAAUAUCUGCAUCCUGGACAUUUCACAUGAAUCCUGAGUGACAGCCCCAUGCUGAGGGACCCCUUUGACAAAGUUUGUAACAAGGAAAAAAAAAGAGAAUAUAUUUAUUGCAAAUAUAGCUGUGUUAUAGGCCAGGCUUUAGCCUGUCUUAUAGACAAACACAAAAUUCCUCUCACCUUCACACUGCUGCUCCAUCAGUGCACCAACACCUGACGUGCACCAAUUUAAAUCAAGGUCUGACCUCUACAGGGAAGAAGUGGCUUCAAAAGGUAAUUAAAAUAAUUUAAUCUCUUUUUCUUUUUUUCUUCUGCACUAUGAUUUAAUUGUAUUGCCACUAAAUACCAGUCUAGACAAGGUCUUGUUAAAAGCUUUAAAAUCCCCGAAUAGUUUAAUCUAUUAGUGGUGGUGAGUAGCUGUUGGCAUGUGGACCAAUCUCACACAAAGCUCUCUUAUAGUAGUGCUCCCAAACCCUAUCACAAGGAAUAAAAAAACACCCAGGAAGACAAAAUGAGGGGGAAAAGAGCAUUCUCCAGCUAGAAAAACAAGCUACUAUUACCAAAUAUGAAAUCUGUAAUUAAGCAAAUCACAAAUUGUCAAACAGCUAUGUCAACAAAAUGCCCAACCUGCAGUUGUGGGGACACAGGGACAGUGGUGAUGCUAAAAAGGUGUCCAUCCUUGUAGUAUAGUGCAGGAAAAGGAGAGAGCCAGGUCAGUGGGCACAUGGAAACCCCUGGGAGAGGACACACUGCCCUCAGGCUGGAGUGUCACCUGCUGGUGGCUGGUCCUGAGAAGUGAUUCUGGGGGCAGGCAGAGGCAGCACCACCCCUGGGCUGAGCCUGGGUGUGCUUUUGUGAGCUCCAAACCCCUGUCAGAAGGGGCUGACCACAGAACGAACGUGUUCCUCAUGGUUUUGCUGUUACUUCUCACACCUGGGCUUCUCACACCGGUGUUCCUCACACCUGUACUCCCUUUGCCCUCUGAACACAGCCCUCACCCUCUCUGCUUUUCCAGUGCACCUUAUUCUCAGUGGCCCAUUUUUAAGAAAAGGGAAGAUGCCUCCAGUGGCACAGGGGAUACGAAAGGGUUUGCAUGAGCUUCCAGCCCGUCAGUGCCAGAAAAAAAUGGGUUUUUGUCAAUACUAGGAGAAAAUAACCUAGUGGUAGAUAAUUGCCCUCGUUUGUCAGUCUGGGCUGAUGACUUUCCCGUUUCAUUUCCUCCUGUGUAAUGUUACAGGGGACAUAUAUGAGAUAUUCAGAAAAGAGUGAGGCAGGGAAGUCUGCAGGAGUGUUUAGUGGGAGGUCAGGAAUUUUUAAGAGGUAUUAUUACAAGGCGGUGUGGUUUGGGUCAUGUUUCUUGUAGACAUCUUGUCAGGAAACUUUUUGAAUAAUAAAUUAUAAUCUUUUUAUAUAUUGUACAAGCUUAUUAACCUUAAUCUUCAAACAUAAAACUGAAUUUUGAAAAUAUCAUCAGACAAGCUCAGAAGCUAAACAAAUAACAUAGAAACAUAAAAAAGAGAAGAGAAAUAAAACAUAUGCUGGCCAGAGUUUUAGAGACAGUAGCCACAGCACAGCAGAUCUUAAUUAGCAGCUACCUGCAGUGGCAGUGGCCUGGGAUGAAAUGUUUUGAUGUGUGUAAAUGUUUCUAUAAAACAGUUGAAGCUUUCUUAGAUCCUGUAUCACUUUUUCCCUAAGCGUUGCGGUUUUCCAGCAUGGACAUUUCACAGACUGGGAUCUCAGGAAGAUCUAAAGUCUUUGCUUUCUGUUUUUGUUUCUCCAAUCGUAAAUUGAGGAUACUUACAUUUAUUUACUAUGAAAGGCUCUUAGUGCUUCCAAAAACCCAGUAUUUAAUGACUGGGUAGGACCAGCAGUUGUGGUAGCAAUAGUUGAAGGCACAAUCUUGCCAUAAAUCCUGCUCACACUCAGACUUGAAAAGUAGCUCCAUAUUAAGGGAUACAGAAUUCCUGUCUGAAAUAUUUCUGCAGUGCCAUCUUUUGUUAAAAAUAUUCUUGAGCUUUACCAACACAGACCUUUUCAGAAAUAUAAAAUGAGCAAUUUCUGUUCAUUCUGCCCAAUGCCUCCUGCAAGUGGCAGGGCACUGCUGAGUCUGACUCAGCCAAGACUUCACAAACUGAAUUCUUAAGGGUGGCUUGGGACCAAAGCUCCAGCUCUUCAGGGAUUUCCUCAUGGUGGGACCUCAGCUCUGGUUUGCAUGUGAGGAAAUUUGCUUUAGCAUCACCUCCCCCCUUCCAGAUGGGUCAGGAUUGCCCAAAAUCAUGGCAAAAAGCAGUGGUGGAACCACUGACAUCACUUUGUUUCCCAAAAAGACAUGGGAUGAUGAGGUGGGUCCUGAAAAGCUUUUGGAGAAGGAGGAGAUGCCCAGCACCGUGCUCAUCCCUUGUUCAUCCCAAGGGACUGACUUCAUGGCACAAAAAGAGAUGGAAAAGCAGGACCAAUGCAGUCUGUGAGUCAGGACUUCAUGGUAAGGGCUGAUAAUGUCUGAUAAAGUCAGGAGAAAGUCCACCUUUCUCCUGCUCAAGCCAGGCAGGUGACUGUUGAUUCUGCUUAAAGGAAUGUCUGCAAAUUACUGGGAUUCCCUUUAAUUCAUGUGCACUGUGAAUCUAAAUGGGAGAGAAAAUCUAUUUAAGUGUGUAUACGUGUGCCCCACCUUCUGUGCCCGUGAUGCUCAUUUCUGGGCUCUUAUUUCUGCCCUGAACUCCCUGGAGUCCAAGAUGAAGGAUCUUGUCUUGUAGCCCACACCUCCACCCACAUCCCCAGGGAGGUCAGAGGAUGCAGAGGAUGCACCACAUCCUGUCCUGAUUUACACCCUCCACAGUCCAGCCCUGCCCAGGCUGGCACCUGCUGAGCAGGUUGUAUUUAUAGAGUAGAGAUAUAAAUCAGGGAGCUUUCCAAGGUAAAGAGUACCAAAAGGAUUUGACCCUAGGUACUAAUUUCCUGUCUUAAUCUGUAGUCUAAUAGAGUGUUCUUGUAAAAAUCAACUUUUCUUAAAAGGUGCCUUUUUCAAACUCUUGAUGGAGGUCUGUGAAGUGAAUCUGAUUGUGAAUCUCCAGCCUCAGAGUGAGGGUGAAUGUGAUUCAGAACUGCAGAUCAAGCACUGCUCUGCAAACUGACACUCUUGAUGAAGCAAUGAGCCCGAGCUGCCCGAAAGCAAAGUGAAGAGGCUACAAGUCCAUAAAUUUGCUGUUAUCUGAGUGCCUUUCCAAAAGUUUUCAGCACCCUGAACCAUCUGAGCUCACCCAAUAAUGGUGAUCACUUCAGCUGAUCAGUUCCUAGGCAGCCUCCACCAAGAUGUAUUUGGCCCCUUGCAGAGACGCUCUGGCUCCAGCCAUUCAAGCAGUUUCCUAUCCCUUGACUUCAAAACCAAGACCAAGAACCAGGAGCUCUGCCAUCACUGGGACAGAACACACACACCCAGGACAGAUAUUCCUCUGCGCAAACAACUCUGGUACUGAGACAAGGCAGUGAAAAUCAAGGUCAUGACUCUAGAAGGCUCAUUUUAUGCAGCUGGAGGCUCAUUUAGCUUCUUAACCAUGGAUUUUGAUCAUUCUGGUCACCGGACUUUAAAUGAGUGACCCUGCAGAUUUAUAAGGCAUUCUGCUCAGCAGUCUUUUAAAUAGUCAUAUAUGAAAGAGCCAUGCUACUGGUUUGGACUUGGUCCCAUCCUCGGAACGACUCCGCA